CUUUAAGAGACUGCCGGUGUUAAACCGGAGGAAGGUGGGGAGUGACGUCAAGUCCUCAUGGCCUUUAUGCUUAGGGCUACACACGUGCUACAAUGGGUGGUACAAAGAGAAGCCAACUCGCGAGAGCGCGCCAAUCUCAAAAAGCCAUCCUCAGUUCGGAUUGGAGUCUGCAACUCGACUCCAUGAAGUUGGAAUCGCUAGUAAUCGCGGAUCAGCAUGCCGCGGUGAAUACGUUCCCGGGCCUU
rnacentral:rRNA from 1 species